GCAGUAGCUCAGUUGGUAGAGCAUCGGUCUCCAAAACCGAAGGUCGCAGGUUCGAUCCCUGUCUGC
rnacentral:tRNA from 1 species